rnacentral:lncRNA from 1 species
UGUGAUUAGCAUUGAAGCAAUGUCUAGACAUGCUAUAUUGCCAAAUUUGUCACAUCUGUGUAGCUGACUUAAAUUUUGUGUUACGAACAUCUCACAUGCGGCUGCCUAUGAUACUGACUUUCUCGCUGGUUGCUUACUUUUUGCCGAUUGUUCUACUUGUCUGUCAGGGUGCCUUCCAAAUGGCUCACUUUUGGGGGAAA